rnacentral:rRNA from 1 species
AUGUGUCAUCAAAUCCAACUGCAAGCUACACGACAAGCUAUGAUUGAAUACCAUGUACAAGGAGUGCGUCCACUGACAUACGGACACAAGAGAUAUUCAGUUAUGAGGAUUAGGAUAUUAAUGAUCGUUCAGUCAUUGAGGAUUAAAAGAGGCAUCAAUGCUCCAGUAGAGGUGGUAUUGAAGUCGUGGCUGUCAGUAGACCUUUUAUUGAUGCUAACUACAUGCCAUGGAGUGAGUCCAGUGACAUACAGAUAUGAGAGAUAUUCGGUUAUGAGGAUUGGGGAAAUUAAUGAUCAUUCAGUCAUUGCGGAUUUGAAAGGAGACAUCAAGGCAGCAAAUGGGGCAUCUGCUCCACUGUGA